rnacentral:rRNA from 1 species
AAACUACAAGAACUUGUCUCAGUUCGGAUUGUAGGCUGAAACUCGCCUACAUGAAGCUGGAGUUGCUAGUAAUCGCGAAUCAGCAUGUCGCGGUGAAUACGUUCCCGGGCCUUGUACACACCGCCCGUCACACCAUGAGAGUUGGCAAUACCCAACGUACGUGAUCUAACCCGCAAGGGAGGAAGCGUCCUAAGGUAGGGUCAGCGAUUGGGGUGAAGUCGUAACAAGGUACC